UACGUAGGGUCCGAGCGUUGUCCGGAAUUACUGGGCGUAAAGAGUGUGUAGGCGGUGCUCUAAGUUCGGUGUGAAAUCUCCCGGCUUAACUGGGAGGGUGCGCCGGAAACUGGAGUGCUUGAGCGCGGGAGAGGAAAGCGGAAUUCCUGGUGUAGCGGUGAAAUGCGCAGAUAUCAGGAGGAACACCGAUGGCGAAGGCAGGUCUCUGGGCCACUACUGACGCUGAGAAGCGAAAGCAUGGGGAGCGAACAGG
rnacentral:rRNA from 1 species